CACCGCCGCCGCUGUAGCAUUCCCAGUCUUAGCCCUUGUUCGAAGCUUUAGUCCCUCCGCCCAAGUCUGCUUCCUCCCGACCCCAAGCUUUCCUUUCAGGAAGAAGGUGAGUUGCCGACCCCAGUCCGCCUCGCCCGACCCCUCCUAUCCGCCCGACCCCGGUUCCGUCUCGCCCGACCCUGUCUGUUCCGCCGACCCUUAUCCGCCUCGCCCGAGGGUUCAGCUGUGGUCUUUUUCUUCAACCCGAGGGUGUAUGUGUAAAACUUAGGAACCCUUCAGCACUUGCGUCUGAGGAUCCCUAGUUUUCCCACAUCCUCUAGUUCAAGGAUCAGAUCAUAAGUUCCUUUCCUACCCUUACCUCUUGAUCUUCAUCAGCUCUCUUGAA
rnacentral:lncRNA from 1 species